CUUCGGCCCGAGUUGUAAUUUGCAGAGGAUGUUUAUGGUGCGGUACCUUCCGAGUUCCCUGGAACGGGACGCCACAGAGGGUGAGAGCCCCGUCUGGUUGGAUACCAAACCUGUGUUAAACUCCUUCAACGAGUCGAGUAGUUUGGGAAUGCUGCUCUAAAUGGGAGGUAAAUCUCUUCUAAAGCUAAAUACCGGCCAGAGACCGAUAGCGCACAAGUAGAGUGAUCGAAAGAUGAAAAGCACCUUGAAAAGGGGGUUAAACAGUACGUGAAAUUGUUGAAAGGGAAGCGAUUAUGACCAGACUUGUGCCGUGUGGCUCAUCCGAGGUUCUCCCCGGUGCACUCCACACGGUUCAGGCCAACAUCGGUUUUCGUCGGGGGAUAAGAAUAGUAGGAACGUAGCUUUCUUCGGAGAGUGUUAUAGCCUAUUAUACGAUACCCUGACGGGGAC
rnacentral:rRNA from 1 species